AUGGCUGGAUUAAGCUGCUGCGAAGCUCAGUGCCUCUGCUGCGAGCUUGCAGAGAUGAGAGUAUGGGCAUCAGCUGACGACGGGGAUACUGUGGGCGUCGGCGGCCGGGGCUACAAUGGAGCCCGGCACCACGGCACCCGGAGCUGCAAUGGAGCUCUGCCUGGGCUGCGAUGGAGCCCGGCACCACGGCGGCCGGAGCUGCAAUGGAGCUCCGUCAGGGCUGCAAUGAAGAGCGGGCGCUACUGCCGGCGGCGUGGCAAGUUGAGGACGGCGACGCUCGCCACCGGUGCUGCAAUGAAGCGAGCAUUGAUGCCGACGGCAUUGCAAUGGAGCAGGUGCUGCUGCGGGCGGCGCGGCAAGUCGAGGAAGGCGACACUCGCCACCAGUGAUGCAAUGAAGUGA
rnacentral:rRNA from 1 species